CUCUUAGCAAAGAGAAAAGAGAUGACGUACUUUUCUUCUCUGGUCCGUUCCCUGUUAGUAUUGGAGAUUUUUGCUGCUGUCCUCUUUGUACUGCAGUUGGAAAUGGUGGUAGGAGCACAUGGAAGGGCUCUUGGUACGAGGGACGGAAUCAGCCCACCGCCUCCACGGGGAAACCCAUGGGUUCAUCAUGUUUUCCCAUAUAAACCACCUAGGUGCACUGAUCCAGCUUCAUGUGUGCAUGCUCCACCUGCAAAAUAUGAAGAAGCAAAGGCCCGGUCUGGUGUAUUUCCCUAGUCUAUUGAUUAGCAGUGUGUGCUAGAAAUGUUGUAGUACAUUGAAAUAAUGAUUUCUCCUGAAAGAUUAUAAGGAAGAUCAUCCAAAUCUUGAGGUGGAAUAUGGUUUGGGAGGUAGUGACUUUCCAUUUAGGGUUUUUCUUAAAUUUAAAAUGGAAUGACUGAAUUUUCAUUUUU